rnacentral:tRNA from 1 species
GGUCCAUUCGUCUAGGGGUUAGGACGCAAGAUUUUCAUUCUUGUAACACGAGUUCGAUUCUCGUAUGGACUA